UACGGGGGGUGCGAGCGUUGUCCGGAAUCACUGGGCGUAAAGGGCGCGUAGGCGGCCGCCUAAGUCAGACGUGAAAUCCCUCGGCUCAACCGGGGAACUGCGUCUGAUACUGGGUGGCUUGAAUUCGGGAGAGGGAUGCGGAAUUCCAGGUGUAGCGGUGAAAUGCGUAGAUAUCUGGAGGAACACCGGUGGCGAAGGCGGCAUCCUGGACCGACAUUGACGCUGAUGAGCGAAAGCUAGGGGAGCAAACGGG
rnacentral:rRNA from 1 species